CAAGUGAAGUUCAUUGGGAUAUCUAAAACAGUUUAAAUUCAUUUUUAAAGAAAUGGGUUUGACUGAAUUGUUCCAUUUCAAUCGGCAAAUGUCACAUUGCCAUGCAUAUCCAUCAUGUCUUGUAGGUAUGCAAGGAUGAGUUCUACAUUAUGAAAGGUUGGCUGACCCAUUUUGUACUCUAUAUGUGAAUGGUACCUCUAUUGCUCAUAUUUUGAUGAAGUCCACAGUGGAUUCGUCCAGUAAACAGAGAAUUAGAUGGACUAGGGAACUGGACGGGUAGUUUGUCAAAGCCGUCAAUCAUCUUGGAGGUGUGGCGAGCAGGCUGACAAGCUAAAGAAGUCAUUGGAGGAUGAAAUUCAUUUUCUCAAGGGAAGGGUUUCAGAACUUGAAAGUGAUCUUGUGUCAAAGUCCACAGAAGUUCCAUCUGCAGUUUCAGGGAAAGAAGAAGCUCUAUCUUCUGCAUUUGCUGAAAUUGACUGUCUG